GACGAACGCUGGCGGCGUGCCUAAUACAUGCAAGUCGAACGAACUCUGGUAUUGAUUGGUGCUUGCAUCAUGAUUUACAUUUGAGUGAGUGGCGAACUGGUGAGUAACACGUGGGAAACCUGCCCAGAAGCGGGGGAUAACACCUGGAAACAGAUGCUAAUACCGCAUAACAACCUGGACCGCAUGGUCCGAGCUUGAAAGAUGGCUUCGGCUAUCACUUUUGGAUGGUCCCACGGCGUAUUAGCUAGAUGGUGGGGUAAUGGCUCACCAUGGCAAUGAUACGUAGCCGACCUGAGAGGGUAAUCGGCCACAUUGGGACUGAGACACGGCCCAAACUCCUACGGGAGGCAGCAGUAGGGAAUCUUCCACAAUGGACGAAAGUCUGAUGGAGCAACGCCGCGUGAGUGAAGAAGGGUUUCGGCUCGUAAAACUCUGUUGUUAAAGAAGAACAUAUCUGAGAGUAACUGUUCAGGUAUUGACGGUAUUUAACCAGAAAGCCACGGCCAACUACGUGCCAGCAGCCGCGGUAA
rnacentral:rRNA from 1 species